AAAAGUCGUAACAAGGUAACCGUAGGUGAACCUGCGGUUGGAUCAUUAUUGAUACAACGGUCUUGGAGUCCUCUUUGGAGUUGAUUCCUCGACCUUACCCACCCCAUGUGCAUUGUAAACGUAUUUUGGGACUCUGCUUAGGUAGGGUCCCAGCAGUAUAAACACUAUUUAAUUUGUCUGAAAUGAAACCAAGAAUCGUAACAACUUUUGACAACGGAUCUCUUGGCUCUC
rnacentral:misc_RNA from 1 species